rnacentral:rRNA from 1 species
UACGAAGGGGGCUAGCGUUGUUCGGAAUUACUGGGCGUAAAGCGCGCGCAGGCGGUUUUUCAAGUCAGUGGUGAAAGCCCGGAGCUCAACUCCGGAACUGCCAUUGAAACUGUAAAACUUGAGGAUGAGAGAGGUGAGUGGAAUUCCCAGUGUAGAGGUGAAAUUCGUAGAUAUUGGGAAGAACACCGGUGGCGAAGGCGGCUCACUGGCUCAUAUCUGACGCUCAGGCGCGACAGCGUGGGGAUCGAACAGG